UACGUAGGGGGCAAGCGUUGUCCGGAUUUACUGGGCGUAAAGCGCGUGUAGGCGGUUGCCAAAGUCGGGGGUGAAAGCCUUGAGCUCAACUCAAGAAUUGCACUCGAUACUUGGUGACUAGAGGACCGGAGAGGAUAGUGGAAUUCCCAGUGUAGUGGUGAAAUACGUAGAGAUUGGGAAGAACACCAGUGGCGAAGGCGGCUAUCUGGACGGUUUCUGACGCUAAGACGCGAAAGCGUGGGGAGCAAACAGG
rnacentral:rRNA from 1 species